rnacentral:lncRNA from 1 species
CCAUCCUAACACCAUCUACAAUUGGGACUAUCAACAAUCCCAAUUAACUGAAGAUGCUUUCUAAGAUGACAGUGCCUGUAAGAAGUCCUGUAACAACCCUAGCUUGAUUUUUAUACAAUGCAAGCAAUUCUAGUUCUCUGUAAUGAAGAACCUGAAAUAAAAGCCUUUGCUUGCCUUAGUCCUGGAAUAGACAAUAGGAGAGGUGCUAAGCUGCCAACCUACAUAAAUGCAUCAGAUGUGAUACUCAAGGCAGGCUCAGGGCCAAUAAAGAGACAUAAAGCUCUCUUCCUUGGCCAACCUAUUUGCCUACCCUCAAUCCCUUUGUGCCCUGAAAACCG